CAGGAUUUCUUGGGACAAGUGUUCUGUACACUUGGAGAGAUUGUUGGGUCACAAGGAAGCAGAUUAGAAAAGCCAAUUGUAGGAAUUCCUGGGAGGAAAUGUGGAAUAAUUAUACUGACAGCAGAGGAACUGAACUGUUGCCGGGAUGCUGUACUGAUGCAAUUUUGUGCAAACAAAUUAGACAAGAAAGAUUUCUUUGG